GUCUCCUUCGUCUAGCGGUCAGGACAUCGGGUUUUCAUCCCGACAACGGGGGUUCGACUCCCCCAGGGGAUG
rnacentral:tRNA from 1 species